rnacentral:tRNA from 1 species
CUAAGCGGGGAGCGGCGCACAGUCACUGUACGGCGCAGGCCCGCGCGUGCGCAAUGGCGUCCCGCCAGAUUACAAAAGGAGGUCGCUCCCUGGGCGCGCAGACCGCGUGGGGGAGGGGGAGGGCGUCUCCGCCCCUAACGGGCGGAGGCGGGGCGGCCGGCCGGAAGUGGCGGGGACAGAAGAGGAAGCGCGGGUUUCUUGCGAGCCAGAGGACCGGGUUAGACGCGAACCCUCAGUCUCCCGCCCGCUGGUUUGCUCCCGACCUAGGCGGAGAGCUAGCUGCCAGGGCCGGUCGGGCGCCGAGUGACCCGGCUCCGCCAGCUCCUGAGGGAGAGACAGGGAGUGGACGGACGAGGCGGGCUCCAACCGCCAUGUUAGCGGAGUCCUAAGAAACCGCGCGAGCCACAGCCCAGCAGGACCUCGUGGCGCAACGGUAGCGCGUCUGACUCCAGAUCAGAAGGCUGCGUGUUCGAAUCACGUCGGGGUCAUGGCUCUUUUGUCUUUUUGCUUUUUUGAAUUCAUUAGUUUCAUGCGAGCCAUGGUGUGUUCCCGCCAUUUUUCGAAAAUGCUUUUGGGGUUAUAAAGCUUCGUUCAAAAGUUACCGUAGUACUUUAGCUGCUGAAAAAUAAGGCUUACCAUAAAUUGUAACGCCUGAAGGCCGUUUUUAGGCCUUGUAAUGUGAAGGGGCUUUUUUUUUUUUUUUGAGUGGGUGUGUGUAAUUAAUUACUUGAGAGAUGGUCUUAACUGUUCUGCGUUAAGCGUUUUCUUUCUCACAGCAAUUACACAAUAUUGCGGUACUGUUUCUCCAAAAGUGGUUUUAAUCUGUUUGCCUUUUGAAAGCAAGUACGAUCGCGUACAAUCUAUUAAAUAAUGCAAGUUUUGAGCAGCAGAAAAGUUGUAUUUUAAGCCACUGGGUGCCAAACGUUGGAUUUAGCGCCAUGAAAGUAGCGUAAACUGGAAUGGAGUCAUAAAACGGAGGCACUAACUCUGCCCCCGGUCAUGUAGCCCAUUACAAGGUGAUGCAACCUAUUUUGUCUGCAUUGAAAAGAUCACCAAGAACACAGAACAUGGCCUAGACUUCCCGGACUGCACCCUAGGGAUAACUGGGGAAGAAAAGACUGCAGGUCCUGUUUACCAUACAAGAUAGUCCCUGGAUGAGCUGAUUAAAUGGAAUUUUUGUCUACAAUAUUGAAGACAGACGAAUUCAGAUUGGCUAAGUAAUCCUUUAAUUUCUCACAUUUAUUUUUUAUUUUUUUAGGUGGGGGACUGGGGUAGGUUUUAUUUUUCUCUUGAGAAAGAUCUCAGUGUGUAGGCCACACUGGCCUCCAACUUGUCUUCUGCCCAUCUCAGCCUCCUAUUGAUGUGACAAGCAGGUAUCCCCACACUCAGUUCUCAUAUUAAUUUAGUUCCUCUUUUUUUUUUUGAGACAGGGUUUCUCUGUAUUGCUUUGGAGGUUGUCCUGGAACUCACUCUGUAGAUCAGGCUGGCCUCAAACUCACAGAGAUCUGCCUGCCUCUACCUCCCGGGUGCUGGGAUUAAAGGUGUGGGCUACAACGCCUAGCUAAUUGAGUUCCUCUUCAUUACAUUUGUUUUGUUUUGGGGAGGCUGAUGCUCUCGUGCUUGUGGAAGUGAGAAAACCUAUGGGACUCAGUUCUCUCCUUUUACCAUAAGAGGCUCAGGGAUGGGGCUUGGCAGCAUGUACUUCCUGUUAAGCCAUCUCAUGUAUGUUCAUUGUAGAAAUCUUGGGAAGUACAGAAAAAGAAGAAAAGAAUCCACCUGCACCUCAUAGUCCAACAGAACUACCUUAUUAGGGAAAGGUGCUUGUGCUAAGGCAUGCCUAUGGGAGGCCAGAGGACAGCAUAUGGGCUCUCUUCUUCCAUCUUGAGGCUUCUAGGGAUCAAAAUCAGGUCACAGGAAUGGCAGCAAGCACCUUUACCUGCGGAGCCAUCUUGUGACUCCCUUUCCCACAAUGGAAGUACUAUGAGCGUUAUGGUCAGAACUAAUUUAUUAUUUGUUAUGGUUUUGGUAUGAAAUGUCCCCAAAGGUCCAUAUGUUAGAAGCUUAGUCCACAGUCAUGGGCCCCAUUGAAAGCACUGACUUCAUUGGCGGGGUUAAUCCAUUGAUCAGUUUAUAGUGAAUGGGCUAGUAGGUGGCAGGGCCUGGGAGGUGAAUAUAUAUUUGAUUCAGUUUGUUUUCAUUUUAUGUGUAUUACUGUUUUACUUGCAUGUAGGUCUAUGAAUUAUAUUUGUGCUCGGUGCUGUCAGAGACCAAAAGAGGGUUUUGGAUCCCCUGAAACUGGAGUUGAGGACAGCUGUGAGCUGCCAUGUAGGUGCUGGGAAUUGAGCCUAAGUCCUCUACAAAAACAACAAAUGUUCUUAACCACUGAGCCCUCUCAGAGCCCUGGAGGGUGUAUGGUGUUCCUCCUGUCUUCCUGUCUAUCUCUGCUUCUCAGUUGCCAUGAGGUGAGAGUUCCCCACACCUUGCCCAUCUGUGAUAAUGUUAAUGCCUUGUCCCAGCCCUAAGAGAGAUGGAAGCAGCCAAUCACGGACUGGAAUCACUGAAACUGUGGGCCAACGUGAUCCUUUCAUUCCAGAUGCUGAUUUGCUCAGAUACAAAUGACUAACAGUACUUUUUUCUUUGCAUUUUUAAUUUUUAAAAAUGUGUCUAUGGAUUUUUGGUACCUGCAGGUCAGAAGAGGACACCAGGUCCCUGUGAACUGGAGUUAUAGGCAGCUGUAAACUGAUGGAGCUGCUGGGAACUGAACUCCAAUCCUUUAGAAAAGCAACCAGGGUUCUUAAUUGCUGAGUCAUCCCUCCAGGCCCUGCAUGGUUUUAACUCAUUGAUGAUGAUGAUGAUGAUGUAUAAUUUGCACAUGCCUGAUGUAGGGGGCACAGAGAGGUCAGAAGACAACUCUAUGGAGUCAUGUCUCCACCUCUGUGUUGGUUCUGCAUAUGGCACAAGCACACUGACCCACUGAACCAUCACUCCAGGUCUGCUUGAUUCUCUUGAUACCAGCUAUGUAGCUUAGGCUGGACUUCAACGCACAGUCAGCCUUCCAAGCAUAAGAAUUACAAACAUGUGCCACCAUUUCCUGCCCCCACAUUUUUUCCCCCUUGAGACAGGGUCUCACCAUGUAGCUGUGGCUGGAACUCAAUAUGUAGACCAGGCUGCCUUCAAACUCAGAGAGAUCCACGAGCUUCUACUUCUCAACUGCUAAGAUUAAGGGCAUGAAGCACCUGGCACAGUCUCUUAUUCUUAAAUAAAUGUCAGUAAUAUGUUUUUUAUGGCUUUGCAGUAUUUCCUCAUAUGUAUAUGUAUUUAUUAC